GACGAACGCUGGCGGCGUGCUUAACACAUGCAAGUCGAACGGAAAGGCCCUGCUCUUGUGGGGUGCUUGAUUGGCGAACGGGUGAGUAACACGUGAGUAACCUGCCCUUGACUUUGGGAGAACUUUAGGAAACACGGGCUAAUACCGGAUAGGAGCUUCUGCUGCAUGGUGUGGGUUGGAAAGAUGCGGUGGUUGGGGUUGGACUCGCGGCAUAUCAGCUUGUUGGUAGGGUAGUUGCUUACCAAGGCUUUGACGGGUAGCCGGCCUGGGAGGGAGACCGGCCACAUACGCCCACGGGUGCGACCCGGACGGAUACGGGCGGCAGGAGUGAGGAACUUAGGAAGCUGCGCCGAGGCCUGGUGGAGCAACGCCGGAUGCGGGAACUCGGCCAUCAGGUAAGAACACGCUUGCGCCUGUCACGGAGCGUGAGUAAGGGUACUGGUCAAAGAGGCACGGCCAACCUAGGU
rnacentral:rRNA from 1 species